GAGGUGACCAUAGGUGGAGUUGAUGUGAUAGACUCCAGAUUUGCUUGGAUGGAAGUGGUUCUUGGGUAAAGGCGGAGCAUAGCUUCCAUGGACUCCAGGUUCGAGCUGGUGAGGACUUCAAGGAGCUUGGUUGGGGCUCUGGAUACUUGAGAUGCAAGGUGGAGCAAAGAACCCAAGCAAAGGACUUCUACUAGUAGAAGAAUCGACUCGGCACCAGAAGGAGUCAACUCAGAUCAUG
rnacentral:lncRNA from 1 species